rnacentral:tRNA from 3 species
GGGGCGGUAGCUUAGUGGUAGAGCGCAAGAUUGCAAAUCUUGAGGUCGCCGGUUCGAUCCCGGCCCGUCCCU